GAACGGGUGAGUACACGUGGGUGAUCUGCCCUGCACUUUGGGAUAAGCCUGGGAAACUGGGUCUAAUACCGAAUAUGAUCACGGGCUUCAUGGUCUGUGGUGGAAAGCUUUUGCGGUGUGGGAUGGGCCCGCGGCCUAUCAGCUUNUNNNUGGGGUAAUGGCCUACCAAGGCGACGACGGGUAGCCGGCCAGAGAGGGUGACCGGCCACACUGGGACUGAGAUACGGCCCAGACUCCUACGGGAGGCAGCAGUGGGGAAUAUUGCACAAUGGGCGCAAGCCUGAUGCAGCGACGCCGCGUGAGGGAUGACGGCCUUCGGGUUGUAAACCUCUUUCAGCACAGACGAAGCGCAAGUGACGGUAUGUGCAGAAGAAGGACCGGCCAACUACGUGCCAGCAGCCGCGGUAAUACGUAGGGUCCGAGCGUUGUCCGGAAUUACUGGGCGUAAAGAGCUCGUAGGUGGUUUGUCGCGUUGUUCGUGAAAACUCACAGCUUAACUGUGGGCGUGCGGGCGAUACGGGCAGACUGGAGUACUGCAGGGGAGACUGGAAUUCCUGGUGUAGCGGUGGAAUGCGCAGAUGUCAGGAGGAACACCGGUGGCGAAGGCGGGUCUCUGGGCAGUAACUGACGCUGAGGAGCGAAAGCGUGGGGAGCGAACAGGAUUAGAUACCCUGGUAGUCCACGCCGUANACGGUGGGUACUAGGUGUGGGUUUCCUUCCUUGGGAUCCGUGCCGUAGCUAACGCAUUAAGUACCCCGCCUGGGGAGUACGGCCGCAAGGCUAAAACUCAAAGGAAUUGACGGGGGCCCGCACAAGCGGCGGAGNNNGUGGAUUAAUUC
rnacentral:rRNA from 1 species